UCUAUCUUUUAUUUUUUUUUAAGAGGGUGCAGCGAACUUUAUUGAUGGUAUUCGAGAGAAGGGAGGGCUCCCCAGGCCUCUCCUGUUGUUAUGGGGUCUGGGAUGGAAUUGUGAGGGAGAUGCUCAGUGUUGGGGGCUGAGUUGGGAUGGGGACUCCUCAGCAACUGAGGGCCUCUCUCUUGCUCUCAGUAUCCUUGCUGGGCUGGGUGGUCCAGGGUUUCUUACUCCUUGGAGGCCAUGUAGGCCAUGAGUUGUCAUUGAGAGCAAUGCCAGCCCCAGCAUCAAAGGUGGAAGAAUGGGAGUUGCUGUUGAAGUCACAGGAGACAACCUGGUCCUCAGUGUAGCCCAGGAUGCCCUUUAGUGGGCCCUCGGCCGCCUGCUUCACCACCUUCUUGAUGUCAUCAUACUUGGCAGGUUUCUCCAGGCGGCAUGUCAGAUCCACAACGGAUACAUUGGGGGUAGGAACACGGAAGGCCAUGCCAGUGAGCUUCCCGUUCAGCUCUGGGAUGACCUUGCCCACAGCCUUGGCAGCACCAGUGGAUGCAGGGAUGAUGUUCUGGGCUGCCCCACGGCCAUCACGCCACAGCUUUCCAGAGGGGCCAUCCACAGUCUUCUGAGUGGCAGUGAUGGCAUGGACUGUGGUCAUGAGCCCUUCCACGAUGCCAAAGUUGUCAUGGAUGACCUUGGCCAGGGGGGCUAAGCAGUUGGUGGUGCAGGAUGCAUUGCUGACAAUCUUGAGGGAGUUGUCAUAUUUCUCGUGGUUCACACCCAUCACAAACAUGGGGGCAUCAGCGGAAGGGGCGGAGAUGAUGACCCUUUUGGCCCCACCCUUCAGGUGAGCCCCAGCCUUCUCCAUGGUGGUGAAGACGCCAGUAGACUCCACGACAUACUCAGCACCAGCAUCACCCCAUUUGAUGUUAGCGGGAUCUCGCUCCUGGAAGAUGGUGAUGGGUUUCCCGUUGAUGACCAGCUUCCCAUUCUCAGCCUUGACUGUGCCGUUGAACUUGCCGUGGGUAGAGUCAUACUGGAACAUGUAGACCAUGUAGUUGAGGUCAAUGAAGGGGUCGUUGAUGGCAACAAUGUCCACUUUGUCACAAGAGAAGGCAGCCCUGGUAACCAGGCGUCCGAUACGGCCAAAUCCGUUCACACCGACCUUCACCAUCUUGUCUAUGAGACGAGGCUGGCACUGCACAAGAAGAUGCGGCUGUCUCUAGAACAGGGAGGAGCAGAGC
rnacentral:lncRNA from 1 species